rnacentral:rRNA from 1 species
GAUGAACGCUGGCGGCGUGCCUAAUACAUGCAAGUCGAGCGAACAGACGAGGAGCUUGCUCCUCUGACGUUAGCGGCGGACGGGUGAGUAACACGUGGAUAACAUACCUAUAGGACUGGGAUAACUUCGGGAAACCGGAGCUCAUACCGGAUAACCUGUUGAACCGCAUGGUUCAACAGUGAAAGAAGGUCUUGCUGUCACUUAUAGAUGGAUUCGCGCCGCAUUAGCUAGUUGGUAAGGUAACGGCUUACCAAGGCAACGAUGGGUAGCCGACCGGAGAGAGUGAUGGGCCACACGGGAACUGAGACACGGUCCAGACUCCUACGGGGGGAGGCAGGAGGGAAUCUUCCGCAAGGAGGGAAGGCCUGACGGAGCAACGCCGCGGGAGGGAAGAAGGUCUUCGGAUCGUAAAACUCUGUUAUUAGGGAAGAACAAAUGUGUAAGUAACUAUGCACGUCUUGACGGUACCGAAUCAGAAAGCCACGGCUAACUACGUG